rnacentral:rRNA from 1 species
AUUGAACGCUGGCGGCAGGCCUAACACAUGCAAGUCGAGCGGAUGAAGGGAGCUUGCUCCUGGAUUCAGCGGCGGACGGGUGAGUAAUGCCUAGGAAUCUGCCUGGUAGUGGGGGAUAACGUCCGGAAACGGGCGCUAAUACCGCAUACGUCCUGAAGGUGAAAGAGGGGGAUCUUCGGACCUCACGCUAUCAGAUGAGCCUAGGUCUGAUUCGCUAGUUGGUUGGGUAAAGGCCUACCAAGGCGACGAUCCGUAACUGGUCUGAGAGGAUGAUCAGUCACACUGGAACUGGGACACGGUCCAGACUCCUACGGGAGGCAGCAGUGGGGAAUAUUGGACAAUGGGCGAAAGCCUGAUCCAGCCAUGCCGCGUGUGUGAAGAAGGUCUUCGGAUUGUAAAGCCCUUUAAGUUGGGAGGAAGGGCAGUAAGUUAAUACCUUGCUGUUUUGACGUUACCAACAGAAUAAGCACCGGCUAACUUCGUG